rfam:Picea glauca, whole genome shotgun sequence.
AUGUACAUUCCUACUGCAUUAAUGCACUAGAUCCCAUCAUAAAACUAUAGUAAAAUGUGCUUGGGCUAGUCUAGUAGUACUGGGAUGGGUGACCUCCUAGGAAGUCCCAGUGUUUUACAUU